UGUUGAAUGGACGCCAGUAGCC
rnacentral:misc_RNA from 1 species